rnacentral:rRNA from 1 species
CGGGCCUUGUACACACCGCCCGUCACACCACGAAAGUCGGCAAUACCCGAAGCCGGUGAGCUAACCCCUCGGGGAGGCAGCCGUCGAAGGUAGGGUUGAUGAGUUGGGGUG